rnacentral:rRNA from 1 species
AGAGUUUGAUCCUGGCUCAGAAUCAACGCUGGCGGCGCGCCUAACACAUGCAAGUCGAACGAGAAAGUGGAGCAAUCCAUGAGUACAGUGGCGUACGGGUGAGUAACACGUGGGUAAUCUACCUUUUAGUGAGGAAUAACCGAGGGAAACUUUGGCUAAUACCGCAUAAGCCUGAGAAGGGAAAGCAGAAAUGCGCUGAAAGAGGAGCCCGCGGCCGAUUAGCUAGUUGGUGGGGUAAGAGCCCACCAAGGCAGAGAUCGGUAGCCGGCCUGAGAGGGCACACGGCCACACUGGCACUGAAACACGGGCCAGACUCCUACGGGAGGCAGCAGUGGGGAAUCUUGCACAAUGGGGGAAACCCUGAUGCCGCGACGCCGCGUGAGCGAUGAAGCCCUUCGGGGUGUAAAGCUCUUUCGUCAGGGAAGAUAGUGACGGUACCUGGAGAAGCAGCUGCGGCUAACUACGUGCCAGCAGCCGCGGUAAUACGUANGCAGCAAGCGUUGUUCGGAGUUACUGGGCGUAAAGGGUGUGUAGGCGGUUCCUUAAGUUUGCUGUGAAAUCUCCCGGCUUAACCGGGAGGGUGCGGUGAAUACUGAGGGACUAGAGUACGGGAGAAGAAGUGGNAUUCCUGGUGUAGCGGUGAAAUGCGUAGAUAUCANGAGGAACACNGGCGGNGUAGACNGCUUUCUGGACCG